UACGUAGGGGGCGAGCGUUGUCCGGAAUUAUUGGGCGUAAAGAGCGUGUAGGCGGCUUGGUAAGUCUGCUGUGAAACCUUGGGGUUCAACCUCAAGCGUGCAGUGGAUACUGUCAAGCUAGAGGAUGGUAGAGGCCAGUGGAAUUCCCAGUGUAGCGGUGAAAUGCGCAGAUAUUGGGAGGAACACCAAUAGCGAAGGCGGCUGGCUGGGCCAUUCCUGACGCUGAGACGCGAAAGCUAGGGGAGCGAACAGGAUUAGAUACCCUGGUAGUCCUAGCCGUAAACGAUGAACACUAGGUGUGGGGGGAGUCGAAUCCCUCCGUGCCGAAGCCAACGCGUUAAGUGUUCCGCCUGGGGAGUACGGCCGCAAGGCUAAAACUCAAAUGAAUUGACGGGG
rnacentral:rRNA from 1 species